UAGAAAGGAAAUCUCAAGCUUUCUCGCUCCCUGGCCAUCUUAGCGUCUGCUCUUGGUUGGGGGCUGUCCCGCACCUAAGGCAGGAAGAUGGGGGCCGCAAAGAAGACAAAAAAGUCGCUGGAGUCGAUCAACUCUAGGCUCCAACUUGUUAUGAAAAGUGGAAAGUACAUGCUGGGGUACAAGCAGACUCUGAAGAUGAUCAGACAAGGCAAAGUGAAAUUGGUCAUUCUCGCUAACCGCCCAGCUUUGAGGAAAUCCAAAAUAGAGCACUAUGCAAUGUUAACCAAAACUGGUGUCCAUCACUAUAGUGGCAAUAAUAUUGAACUGGGCACAGCAUGUGGAAAAUACUACAGAGUAUUUGCACACUGGCUGUCAUUGAUCCAGGUGAUUCUGACAUCAUUAGAAGCAUGCCAGAACAGACUGGUGAAAAGUAAACCAUGCAAAAUUUUUCUUUAAUAAAAUUUUUCAGAGCUUGUUAAAAAAAAAAAA